ACGCUGGCGGCGUGCCUAACACAUGCAAGUCGAACGAGGUCCAUCCUUCGGGAGAAGACCUAGUGGCGAACGGGUGAGUAACACGUGAAGAACCUGCCCCGAAGACCGGGAUAACCCUCCGAAAGGAGAGCUAAUACCGGAUACCCCCACGAACCGCAUGGUUUGGUGAGGAAAUGGAUUCCGCUUCGGGAGGGCUUCGCGGCCUAUCAGCUAGUUGGUGGGGUAACGGCCCACCAAGGCAUCGACGGGUAGCUGGUCUGAGAGGACGAUCAGCCACACUGGGACUGAGACACGGCCCAGACUCCUACGGGAGGCAGCAGUGGGGAAUCUUGCGCAAUGGGCGAAAGCCUGACGCAGCAACGCCGCGUGGGGGAUGAAGGCUCUCGGGUUGUAAACCCCUUUCAGCAGGGACGAAUCAAGACGGUACCUGCAGAAGAAGCCCGGCUAACUACGUA
rnacentral:rRNA from 1 species